rnacentral:rRNA from 1 species
CCUGAGACUGUAAGUCUCCUGAAGGAACGUUGAAGACGACGACGUUGAUAGGCCGGGUGUGUAAGCGCAGCGAUGCGUUGAGCUAACCGGUACUAAUGAACCGUGAGGCUUAACCUUACAACGCCAAAGAAGU